AGUUCUAAACAGUUAAAUAUGAAACUGUCAACAAGGGCCUGUCUUAAUAACCAAACUUGAGGCCUUUUAUCCUGGAAGAUUUAUGAAGUAAUUUUAAAGAGGCCCAAGCAAACAUCUGUCAAUAAAUUGAAUGCCGGCUACAGGAUUUACAAGCAAGACAAGAAUUUCUCAUUAAGUGCACAUUAGCACUGUGGGGAUCAUAAAUAGUAAGAGGGCAGGAAGCUGAGCCUCUCAAGCUGUCAUUAAAACACUAUCUAAGAACUAAUGAGGAAGUGAUGGAAGGAUACUAAUGAUCCCUCUGGCUCCUUUCGUUCAGCAGUGAAAGAGGAUCGUGCAAUACAGGGUUUCAGUCUGCCACAAUUGGAGACCUACAGUACAGCAGAGAGUUUCCAGAGAGCAUCACAGUACAUGUUCCAUCACUGCAUGUGGUUUUAUGGCACACAGAUACACAGAUUUUCCACUGACUGAGGUAGAGAUACUCCCGAUUCAUACCGGCGUGACUUGUGAGAUCAGAAUCAAACCAGGAGCCCGAUCCUCAGCUCGUGCAAAUCAACAUACCUCAAUUGGCUUCAGUGGAGUGAUGCCAGUUCACACCAGCUAAGUAUCUGGCACAUAGAUCUCAAAGUGUUUUACAACAUUAAUUAAUUAAAUGUCAGAAUGCUGUGUGAGGCAGUGCCUAUUUUGCAGGUGGGGAAACAGGCAAAGAGAAGCGGAGUGACUUCCCUAGGUUCGUAUGGCAACUAAUGUCUGCCUCCAAACAUCCACAGCAACAAGGAUAUAAAAUUCAUAUGUGGCCUUUCAGGAGCUUGAUAGGGAGACCUUCAGUGUGCACAGUUGUUCUGCUUUAAACUUAUUUUUUGCAAAGCAGGUAUUUUUGUAACCAAGAAUUAGAGAAAGUGGCCUCAGGCUAAAUUGCAGGGAGUCCCAAAUGAGUGAACCCUUUGAGGGGAGAAUCACUGAAGAAGAAAAUGAAGAUGACAAGGCUGUUGCUUCUUAAUAAACA